rnacentral:rRNA from 1 species
GACGAACGCUGGCGGCGUGCUUAACACAUGCAAGUCGAACGGAAAGGCCCUGCUUUUGUGGGGUGCUCGAUUGGCGAACGGGGGAGUAACACGUGAGUAACCUGCCCUUGACUUUGGGAUAACUUCAGGAAACUGGGGCUAAUACCGGAGAGGAGCUCCUGCUGCAUGGUGGGGGUUGGAAAGUUUCGGCGUUUGGGGAUGGACUCGCGGCUUAUCAGCUUGUUGGUGGGGUAGUGGCUUACCAAGCCUUUGACGGGUAGCCGGCCUGAGAGGGUGACCGGCGACCUUGGGACUGCGAUACGGACCAGAAGCGUAUGGUAGGCAGAAGUGGGGAAUAUUGCACAAUGGGCGGAAGCCUGAUGCGGCAGCGCCGCGUGCGGGAUGCCGGCCUUCGGGUUGUAAACCGCUUUCGCCUGUGACGAAGCGUGAGUGACGGUAAUGGGUAAAGAAGCACCGGCUAACUACGUG